ensembl:snoRNA
ACAAUAUGAUGAAAUUGUAACUUGCCAGUUCUGCUUCUGACAAACAUUGAUGAUACAAGUUACACUACUUCUGAUCU